CACCGCCCAUCCCCCCUAUUGAUUGGGUGUGCUGGCGAAGUGUUCGGAUUUACUUUGACUGGGCCAACCUGCUCAUGGAUGAGAAGUGAGAAGAUUAGUAAAUCAUCCGGCCCCUAGAGGAAGGACAAGUCGUAACAAGGUUUCCAAAGGUGAACCUGCGGAAG
rnacentral:ncRNA from 1 species